AGCAUCAACAAUUCGGUAUAUACAAAUGUGGGAGCUAAAUUGAGUAUCUAUUUUGCUGAGUAUGCGGCAUGUUUGAUGGGAAACCAUAGCUACGAUGUACCAGAGUAUUGGCUAAAUGUAGCCGAUAAACUCUACCUCCCUUUUAACGCAGAGAAAAAAUAUCAUCCAGAAUUUGAAGGUUAUGAAGAUUGGACAGAUGAACGUGGUGUGAAGCAAGCUGAUACGAUCAUGUUAGGAUAUCCCCAGAUGUGGCCAGUAGAUAAAGAAGUUAGACGAAAUGAUCUGAUUCAUUAUGAAAAGGUGACCAAUCCAAUGGGACCAGCUAUGACGUGGGGUAUGUUCUCUAUCGGUUGGUUAGAGUUAGGCGAUGAACAUAAAGCCCAUGAAUUGUUCCAUAGAAGUUAUUCACCUUAUGUACGAGAACCGUUCAAAAUUUGGACAGAAGCUCGUUCUGGAAUUGGUGCUGUUAACUUUAUAACCGGAAUGGGAGGAUUCCUUCAAGCAGUGUAUUUUGGCUAUGGUGGUGCCAGGAUUUAUACAGAACACAUGGAAUUCAACCCAAGGCUUCCGCCAGGAAAUACAGCGCUCAAGUUUUUAGGAAUGAAUUAUCUGAAAAAUUCUCUAGACAUAGAAAUUUACGAGAAAAAAAUGCUUAUAAUUUUAAGAAAAACUGCUGUCGAAAACCAGCUAUUUGUCCAAAUUCACAGCAGUGGUGCUGAAAUUAUC